rnacentral:rRNA from 1 species
AUUGAACGCUGGCGGCAGGCUUAACACAUGCAAGUCGAGCGAGCGGCGGACGGGUGAGUAAUGUCUGGGAAACUGCCUGAUGGAGGGGGAUAACAACUGGAAACGGUAGCUAAUACCGCACACCAUCAGAUGUGCCGAGAUGGGAUUAGAUAGUGGGUGGGGUAAUGGCUCACCCAGGCGACGAUCCAUAGCCGGUCUGAGAGGAGGACCAGCCACACUGGAACUGAAAAACGGUCCAGACUCCUACGGGAGGCAGCAGUGGGGAAUAUUGCACAAGGGGCGCAAGCCUGAUGCAGCCAUGCCGCGUGUGGGAAGAAGGCCUUCGGGUUGUAAAGCACUUUCAGCGGGGAGGCGGUACUCGCAGAAGAAGCACCGGCUAACUCCGUGCCAGCAGCCGCGGUAAUUC